CUGAGAGUGAUUUUUAAUCAUAUAAGCUGUUUAAAGGUUCCUAGAAUUUCUAAGCAUAUUUUUUUCUUAAGUGAACGCUUAAAAUUUCCAAGGAUUUUUUAGAGCAGAAAAUACUUUUUUUUUUUUUUUUAAGUUACCACCAGGGUUAUGACUGGGGCUUGGUGCCUGCAUAACAAAUGUGCUGCUCCCAGUGGCCUUUUUGUUUUCUGUCUAUCCACCUCUUCCUCUCCUUUUCUUUCUUUUUGGAUACAGAGAGAAAUUGAGAUGAAAAGGAGAGAAAGAGGAGGAGGAGGAAGAGAGAUAUCUGCAGCACUGCGGCAUCACUCAGGAUGGAAGCUUUCCUGUUUCCAGGCAGGUGUGGAAAUUGAGCUUGCCAGGCAUUGCCUGACCUUUGGGUCUGGCCAAGGGAGUCUGUGCCACCCCUGCUGCCACAGAAGUGGGGCUCACUGCACUUGAGGGAAAGUGAAAAUAGAGCUUGGGGAGUCGGGCGGUAGUGCAGCAGGUUAAGCGCAGGUGGCGCAAAGCACAAGGACCAGUAUAAGGAUCCCGGUUAGAGCCCCCGGCUCCCCACCUGCAGGGGAGUCACUUCACAAGCAGUGAAGCAGGUCUACAGGUGUCUAUCUUUCUCUCCCCUUCUGUCUUCCCCUCCUCUCUCCAUGUCUCUCUGUCCUAUCCAACAACGACGACAUCAAUAACAACAACAAUAAUAACUACAACAAUAAGAAAACAAGGGCAACACAAGGGAAUAAAUAAGUAAAUAAAUAUUAAAAAAAAAAGAAAAGAGAAAGCUAGCAUUUCUGGGGCAAUGUGGGUGCCUUGUGAAGGCUAUGAUGAGGUAGAGGGCU